rnacentral:rRNA from 1 species
GACGAACGCUGGCGGCGUGCUUAACACAUGCAAGUCGAACGAAGAGCGAUGGAAGCUUGCUUCUAUCAAUCUUAGUGGCGAACGGGUGAGUAACGCGUAAUCAACCUGCCCUUCAGAGGGGGACAACAGUUGGAAACGACUGCUAAUACCGCAUACGAUCUAAUCUCGGCAUCGAGGAUAGAUGAAAGGUGGCCUCUACAUGUAAGCUAUCACUGAAGGAGGGGAUUGCGUCUGAUUAGCUAGUUGGAGGGGUAACGGCCCACCAAGGCGAUGAUCAGUAGCCGGUCUGAGAAGAUGAACGGCCACAUUGGGACUGAGACACGGCCCAGACUCCUACGGGAGGCAGCAGUGGGGAAUCUUCCGCAAUGGACGAAAGUCUGACGGAGCAACGCCGCGUGAGUGAUGACGGCCUUCGGGUUGUAAAGCUCUGUUAAUCGGGACGAAAGGCCUUCUUGCGAAUAGUGAGAAGGAUUGACGGUACCGGAAUAGAAAGCCACGGCUAACUACGUG